rnacentral:tRNA from 1 species
CCACCGAGAAAGGCUAGGUUGCAACGGAGACUGCUAAUCUCCGCAACCUUGGUUCGACCCCAAGGCUUGCUCA